rnacentral:lncRNA from 1 species
AUAAAAGUAAAACGACGGCAACCAUAAAAGCAACAAAUCUCCCCUCCCUUUUUUCCCUGGGUUUUCUGGGGGAACCAAACAAAGGAAGAGAGAGAUUACUUUCUCAAGGUCAUCUUGGAUCUCCUGCAACUUCUCGAUGGAGAGAACGAGGUCCCCAUCAAUGUGGUCUGAGUUCACUUCUUCUUCUUUCUCCGACUGCUUCAAUUUCUUGCCUUUGUCUGCCACCAUCUUCACUGCUGACGGUAAACCCUAGUUGGUUUCUCUAAAACCCUAC